CAGAUGCCUCUUUUUUCUUGAUUUGGACUCUUCCAAAAAUGAGAAAUAGGAGAAGGAGUUUUAAAUGUGAGACACUCAGAAAACUCACAGAUGGAGGAAGGAAAGAGGUGAAUUCAGCAACCCUAGAAGAAGACCCUCUUCUUCUUCUCUUUGCUCUCACCUAGACACCUAGUUUUGUGUCUAUUAUAUCUCCAUGCCCCAACACUCUUUCUCCCUGAUUUUCACAUGCCCCAAAGGUAUCUCAAUGCUCUAUAAUCCACAAAACUCUCAAGAAAAAAAUUAUCUUAAAUAAAGAGAUAUGAAGAAUCUUUGUCUAGGUCAAAUACCUAGUCAAAAAAAAUUCAAUUAGGGUAAGACAAGGGGUGCCCAACUCUUGGGCGUCCCCUCCUUUUUUUGUCAUGGACCACCAGCAAAAGGCGCACAAUAUGUGCCAUAAAAGCCAUGAAAAUCUCAAAUAAAAUCUAGAUAAAAUCAAUGCCAUAAGGAAAGAGUUUUGGUUUCUUAAAAUUCUAUCUCAUAGAAUUUGAAAUUCAAACUAAUUCC
rnacentral:lncRNA from 1 species